rnacentral:tRNA from 1 species
GGGCGUGUAGCUCAGCUUGGUAGAGCAGCGGGCUUUUAACCCGAAGGUCGAGGGUUCAAAUCCCUCCACGCUCA